UGGGGAAUAUUGCACAAUGGGCGAAAGCCUGAUGCAGCAACGCCGCGUGAGUGAUGAAGGCCUUCGGGUUGUAAAGCUCUGUCUUCUGGGACGAUAAUGACGGUACCAGAGGAGGAAGCCACGGCUAACUACGUGCCAGCAGCCGCGGUAAUACGCAGGUGGCAAGCGUUGUCCGGAUUUACUGGGCGUAAAGGAUGCGUAGGCGGAUACUUAAGUCAGAUGUGAAAAUCCCGGGCUUAACUUGGGAACUGCAUUUGAAACUGGGUAUCUAGAGUGCGGGAGAGGAAAGUGGAAUUCCUAGUGUAGCGGUGAAAUGCGUAGAGAUUAGGAAGAACACCAGUGGCGAAGGCGACUUUCUGGACCGUAACUGACGCUGAGGCAUGAAAGCGUGGGGAGCAAACA
rnacentral:rRNA from 1 species